UAAUGAUAAAUUCGACCGUACUGUAAACCGACACAGGUGGGUGAGUCGAGGAGACUAAGGCGUUCGAGAGAACUCUCGUUAAGGAACUAGGCAAAUGAGCCCCGUAACUUCGGGAUAAGGGGCGCCAGCGCAAGCUGGCCGCAGCGAAGCAGCCCAGGCGACUGUUUACCAAAAACACAGGUCUCUGCUAACACGAAAGUGGAUGUAUAGGGGCUGACGCCUGCCCAAUGCCAGUAGGUUAACAGGAGAUGUCAGGAGUAAUCCGAAGCAUUGAAUCGAAGCCCUGGUGAAUGGCGGCCGUAACUCUAACGGUCCUAAGGUAGCGUAAUUCCUUGUCGGCUAAAUACCGACCCGCAUGAAAGGCGUAACGACUUGGGCACUGUCUCAACGAGAAGCUCGGUGAAAUUGUAGCACCCGUGAAGAUGCGGGUUACGCGCAGUAGGACGGAAAGACCCCGUGGAGCUUUACUACACCCUGUCACUGCGAAUUGGGUGUAGAUGUAGAGAGUAGGUGGGAGCUUAGGCACCAAUGGAACACCACCCUUCUACAUCUGGUUCGCUAACCGUCACCAUUAUCUGGUGACGAGACAAUGACAGGCGGGUAGUUUGACUGGGGCGGUCGCCUCCCAAAAGGUAACGGAGGCGCCUAAAGUUGCACUCAGGCUGGUUGGAAAUCAGCCGUCGAGCGUAUAGGUAUAUAGUGCGAUUGACUGCGAGACAAACAGGUCGAGCAGGGACGAAAGUCGAGCUAAGUGACCCUCUGGUGGUGCGUGGGCACGCCAGGGUUCAUCGGAUAUAAGCUACCCCGGGGAUAACAGGCUGAUCUUGCCCGAGCGCUCACAGCGACGGCAUGGUUUGGCACCUCGAUGUCGGCUCGUCUCAUCCUGGGGCUGUACACGGUCCCAAGGGUUCCGGAGUUCACGGAUUAAAGAGGCACGCGAGCUGGGUUCAGAACGGCGUGAGCCAGUUCGGUCCCUAUCCACUGCGCGCGGAGGAAAUUUGAGAGGACUCGCUCCUAGUACGAGAGGACCGGAGUGAACCGACCUCUGGUGUACCUGUUGUGCCGCCAGGCGCAUACGCAGGGUAGCCACGUCGGGUCGUGAUAAGCGCUGAAAGCAUCUGAGCGCCAAGCACACCUCAAGAUGAGAUUUCCCAUCGAAAGAGUAAGGCCCCCGGAAGACUACCGGGUUGAUAGGUCGCAGGUGUGAGCGCAGUAAUGUGUUAAGCUGAGCGAUACUAAUUGGCCGAGGGCC
rnacentral:rRNA from 1 species